rnacentral:rRNA from 1 species
AUGGAGAUGAUUCCGCCUGCUGCGGCGUCGUCGGCGCCAUCACGCCGUGGUGGCGCGGUCACCGAGGAAGAGCGGCAGCGCAAACGCAAGACCUCCAACCGCCUCUCGGCGCAGAGAUCUCGCAUGAAAAGGCAGCAGCGCGAGGACAAUCUGGCCGCGCGCGCGGCCCAGCUCGAGACCGACAACGAGGCCAUGCGUGUCACCACCGGCCUCGUGCAGCAGCAAUGCAGCCUGGUCGAGCAGCAGAAUCGUGUGCUCUCGGCGGACGCUCGUUACCUGUACAGCCUUCUCCAGCAGCGGAACUCCCAGCUCCGCCAGCUCGGGGAGCUCGCCGGCGUUCCGAUGGACGUGCAGGAAAUCCCCGUCCACCUCACACAGCUGUACGGCGGCCUGCAGACGCCACCAGCGCCGCCCCUGUCCUUCCCGCCGGAGAUUCAGAUGAUGUUCCAGCCGGACCAGCUCGAUGAUAUCAUGGACGAUGCAGGAAGUCUCCCGUGGCUCUGA